GAUGUGCUCAGUAGUUUUUGAGUAAGACAACAAAAUAUUAGGGAGGUCUUUCUUUUUUGGUUGAGUGUAGUUCCUCAUAAUGCGGGUAUUACAAAUAUGUCACUAGAUAUACAUUUGCUGUAUACCAAGCUGUUGAGGUCAAUAUACACCUACGUGUUGACUGAAGCCUCAAAAGUGAAUUAGUCGCAUUGAAAAGAUGCUGAGCUAAAAAUAACACUUGUGAACGUUCAAAAUCAGGUUAUUUGAAAAGAAAGGUCACCCAUUGACCCGUCAACUUUGUAGAUCUUUGCAUAACAGCAGACCACACAAAACUUUCCAUUCUUGACUCCAGGCUAGUGGUGACAAUAAAACAUUUUGGGAAAACCCAGAUGUACACCUUUUCUGUAUGCCUUCUGGGACAAAUGUAGUAUAUAUGUUUGUAUCGAUGUGCGGGUUUCCAGGAUUAUAUAAAUAGCCUUUAUUUUUUAUUAAGAUAUUCUACAGACAAAGUAGGACAGCAUGCAAAUAUGGAUAGUGCAAUGUUUUGUUUCAUUGGAUGCAACCUGCUUGCAUGUGGCAGAAUUUCAAAGCACUUGUGAAUCAUGACCUUGUAACUUUUGUAAAGUUUGAGUCAGUGCCAUAUAUGGAAGUUUAUUGAGGGAUUGAUUUGCAUAAUAUAGUUCCGUCAAGUGGUCAUGGGAUUGUUGGGUGCGGCAGCUUCAUGUACAGUGCUGUAAUGCUUGGACGUCUCUGAAUCAACCUGCUACAAUCUUAACUGUACCGGACCUCCAUUUGUGGCUGGGUGAUCCAAAGUACCAUGGCUGCACAAUCUGAAGCAGCCUGCCAGACUGAUGUCCCUACCACGAUGCAACAGGAAGCACAGGUACCCACCCCCUCAGCUACAACAGAUUCCCCACAACGAACUGGAGCCAUUGGAAACAUGGGCACAGUCAGUGGUAGCCACUGCCAUACCAUUGUUGGUUCAAGUGGAGUUAGUAUCACUUACAGCUGGCCGUCGGAUGGAGCAGGCAAAUAUUAUCUUG